rnacentral:lncRNA from 10 species
CCCUGAUGCCAUGAAGCUCCAUUCCAGAUCUGUACCAACUUUUACAUGAAUAAGAAAUACAUUUUAGGCUGGGCGUGGUGGCUCACAAUUUUUCUUUUUGUGUAAUCAUUUUCUAAGAAUCCAGGGCCUCCUUCACAUCCCUUCUGAAAUAGUAUUUUAACUUUUAAUAUGCAACAUUUACAAUAUAUUCCACACACAGCGCUGACUAAGUUUCUUUGGAGGUCAAUUUUCAAAUUAUCUUCCAAGCAAUUCAAAGUAAACAGAACAGAAAAUCAAUAGUUUUCCAGAAACAUCUUCAAAGCAUA